rnacentral:misc_RNA from 1 species
AACGUAGGGGUCGAGCGUUAUCCGGAAUUACUGGGCGUAAAGCGCGUGCAGGCGGCUGAGCAAGUCGGACGUGAAAGCUCCUGGCUCAACUAGGAGAGGACGUUCGAAACUGCUUAGCUAGAGGCCGGUAGAGGCGAGUGGAAUUCCCGGUGUAGUGGUGAAAUGCGUAGAUAUCGGGAGGAACACCAGAGGCGAAGGCGGCUCGCUGGGCCGGCACUGACGCUGAGACGCGAAAGCCAGGGGAGAGAACGGG